rnacentral:rRNA from 1 species
GACGAACGCUGGCGGCGUGCCUAAUACAUGCAAGUCGAGCGGACGAAUCGAAAGCUUGCUUUUGAUUCGUUAGCGGCGGACGGGUGAGUAACACGUGGGCAACCUGCCCUGUAGACGGGGAUAACACCGAGAAAUCGGUGCUAAUACCGGAUAACACGAAAUGUCGCAUGACGUUUCGUUGAAAGACGGCGCAAGCUGCCGCUACAGGAUGGGCCCGCGGCGCAUUGGCUAGUUGGUGAGGUAACGGCUCACCAAGGCGACGAUACGUAGCCGACCUGAGAGGGUGAUCGGCCACACUGGGACGGAGACACGGCCCAGACUCCUACGGGAGGCAGCAGUAGGGAAUCUGCCGCAAUGGACGAAAGUCUGACGGAGCAACGCCGCGUGAGCGAAGAAGGCCUUCGGGUCGUAAAGCUCUGUUGUUAGGGAAGAACAAGUAACGCAGUAACUGGCGUUACCGUGACGGUACCUAACGAGAAAGCCACGGCUAACUACGUG